rnacentral:lncRNA from 1 species
ACCCUCCCUAUUCAUUCGGCUAAAACAUGAGCCUUAUGCCCAGUCACCACAUGCCACCGUCAAAUCCGGUGAUCCACCAUGCGCGAAGAGAGUCUUCGACUCUGCUCAUGCCAUAUGCGGAGACUCACUCGCUAUUCAAUAUCAGGGAAAACAAAAGGAGUAAACCCGACCCUCUUUUGAUCCGAUCUCGAAGGAGUCAAGAUUCCCGCAAUGAACCAUAGGUGAGUCCCCCUUUCCCUCUUUCGUUUCUUUUUUACAUGCAAAUACAUAAAUCAAAGAAAUAGAAGCAAAAUCAAAAGGAAAAACGAGAUUUCAAAAAUCACCUCCUGAAAAAUUGUUGUAUUGUAGAUCUGUAUCCCUCCCCCCGUUUACAGUAUACAAUUGGCUUUAUAUAGCCAAAAUUAAAUAUAAAAUUUACAAAUUUCCCCUUCAUUUGUUUGCUGUUAUUCUGUUAUAUUAUCUGUCAUUUGCUGUUGUGAUUUUCAUUUGUUGCAGGUAUGGAGCCAGCUGGCCGAUGGCGCGCGUGGGACUGGCCGGAGGCAGUAGCGAUGCUGGAAGCUGCUGGAAACCUGUUCGGCGCAAGGGAACCUUAGGGUUUCUGCUGAAAAUUUGGUUUAAUUUUGGGCCAUUGGGUGCUGGGCUAUUGGGUUAAUUUGAGUUUAAUGUUUGGGUCGGAUUGCUGGGUUUAUUUUAAUUUGGGCUCUGUUGUAACAAAAGGGACUUGGAUUAUUAAUAUUUGGUUUUAUUUAUUUAUUUAUUUAUUUAUUUUUUGGUUUUUGUUAUGGGCCCGGGCGAAAUGGGCCUAUUACAAUUAUGAAAUUUUUUAUAGUUUUUAAGUUUGAGUCUUAUAAUAUACAAAUGUUAUGUUGGGAUUUUAUUUUAAAUUAUUUUGAGUUUAAA